rnacentral:rRNA from 1 species
AUUGAACGCUGGCGGCAGGCCUAACACAUGCAAGUCGAGCGGCAGCGGGAAAGCAGCUUGCUACUUUUGCCGGCGAGCGGCGGACGGGAGAGUAAUGUCUGGGAAAUUGCCCAGUCGAGGGGGAUAACAGUUGGAAACGACUGCUAAUACCGCAUACGCACUACGGGGGAAAGCAAGGGACCGUCGGGCCUUGUGAGACUGGAUAUGCGCAGGUGGGAGUAGUUAGUUGGUGGGGUAAUGGCUCACCAAGGCGACGAUCCCUAGAUGGUCUGAGAGGAUGAUCAGCCACACUGGAACUGAGACACGGUCCAGACUCCUACGGGAGGCAGCAGUGGGGAAUAUUGCACAAUGGGGGAAACCCUGAUGCAGCCAUGCCGCGUGUGUGAAGAAGGCCUUCGGGUUGUAAAGCACUUUCAGCGAGGGGGAAAGGUUGAUGCCUAAUACGUAUCAACUGUGACGUUACUCGCAGAAGAAGCACCGGCUAACUCCGUGCCAGCCGCCGCAGUAA